GGUAUGUUUCUUUGGUUUCAUUUUCCCAACAGACAAUAAGUUAUUUAAGCUUAUAUGUUUUUUGUUUAUCAUGAUAGGAAAUACCGUAUGAUUUUGCAACCUUAUUGUGGGGAGAACGAGUUCCAUAUGGUCAAUGUAUUGAAAUUAUUGAUGAUGACUUAUCAUGGGUAGUUAGACUUAAAAGAAAUGUUUCGGGACCUGUCUUAGGUGAUGGAUUCACCAAAUUCGUUGAAAAUUCUGGUCUCAAAAAGAAUGAUUAUCUAUUGGUCAAGGCUAUUGGAACAUCGACAUUUUAUGUUUCUGUAUUUAAAUCAUGCUUUUUCGAGAACUCCUUCAUCUCUAAGGUUGCUCCUGAUGAUACCUUUAUACUCCUGGCUGACAAAUUCUGGAAAGAUUUUUACGGGCAAAGGUUUAAAGGUGGAGAGGCAACUCUGUAUGUUGGAAAUAGGUAUUGGAAUGUUAAGAUGGAGGGAUGGCCCGACAGAAGUGCCUUCACUGAUGGUUUAUCUAAGCUGAUUGAUGAUCUUUUUUUUAGAUACCCGCUCUACUAUGUUGUUUACGAGUGUUGGAUAUAAAACUUUCGAGGUAUCUAUUUUUAAUCACUUAACAGGUACUGAAAUAUAUUUCAAGAAAGUUGAAGUUGUUGUUUUGGACGAUUCUGUUUAUGGAGAUGAAGGAUUUGAUUUAUUGACUGCGUCUAAACACAAGGAGAAGCAUGAGACUAACGAAAGUCAAGUUGAACAAGGUCUUUCUUGUGAUGGUGUUGGUGACUUUCAACUUCCAAAUUUUGAGUCUAUUUUUAAUAUAUGAUACUGACGACUCCAAGUUUGAUCGACAUAUAGCUGCUCAAAUUGAGAUGGAAGAUGCUAAGAACCUAGUAAGUGUAUAAGUUCAAAUUACUAACAGAUCUUAUUAUAUCUAUUAGAUACAUAUACUAUUUAAUUGUGCUACAAUUUUAUUUUAUGUAGUUCAAGGAUGGUUGGAAUACAAAGAAUGAUGCUUUGAAAAAUACUCCGUCUGUUACCUCUCAUGAAACGUGCUGGCAUUAAGGAGAGUGAUACGGUUCACUAUUCUUUUGAUGAAACUGGUCGAAUCUUGAAUGUUGAAUUGGUUGUACCUCACAUCAGGAGUACUGAUUAGUUCUUUUACAUUUAGGUUUGGAUAUUUGAUAUUUAUAUGACAUACAUUAACUUUUUAUUCUUAUUAGUUUUUAACAUGGUUAAUGGUUUUGAAUUUUAAGUUAUUACAUCUUAUCAUAUCUUAGUUUACUAUUAGUGUUCCUUUUAAUGGAUAACACAAUUUUGACAUUAUUCACUGUGCAAACUUUAGCGAUAAUUGUUUCGACUUCGAAUGCAGUUUUUGUUAUGAUAUCGAUUCAUAUAAUCAGGCACAAACAGUAUUAUCAUUUAUUCAUCCACCUU